rnacentral:lncRNA from 1 species
GCCGCUCUGCCAUCGCCGCACGUCCCACGUCGCCCACUUGCCGCGUCAAGUCACCUGCAAGAGAAAGAAGAACACGCAACAGCCAAAGAAAAGAAAGAAAAAUAGAAAAAAUAGAAAUUAAUAUCGGCUAUAAAAGCCAAGCAUGUAACUCUCUUUUUUCCUCUCCUUCCCUGGCAACUUUUGUAACAAAAAAAAAACAGAUUCAAUCCAAAGAAUAAAAAAAAAUAGUUUCAAAGUGAUUAUCGGUAUUAUUUUACUUUAGAUUUAUUUUUUUAUUUUUUUUUACAUUUACAAACAAAGGAACGAUUUAAAAGAGAAAGAAAAGGGACGGAGUACCUGAAUCGCUCCGCUUGCGCCGUCGCCGGAGUUCUUUUUCAGGCUACUGAAAUCGGACCAUGAAGGCAACGUUCGGGGCUUCGCUCCUCGACCCUAAGGCUUUGUAGCCCGGCCUUCAGUCGGUCCCUAAAGCGGGGUUCAAAAAUCGAUCGUUUGGAGCCUCCGACCACCGCACAUGGCGGGGUCAAUGGUGGCCCGUUCGGCCAAGAGAAAGAAGGGCUGAGGGGUUU